CAUCCUUGUCAUCCACAGGAGGGAACCAUUUGUACCUUAAGGAAAUAGGAUGUUUCAGGUCAGUUUCCUCCUCCACAUUGACUUAGAGUUGUAAAUUGCAAGUACAAGAAGUUGGUCAGAUAAUUAAUUUUUUAAUCCAAAAUGUCUAGUAUCCCUUUUUAGUAAAUAUCCAAUAUCUAUAUUCAUCUGAUUCAGAAAGAGGAACUGUCGUCCCUUUGGAAGGGAGAGCGCAGCUCAGCUAUCUGUACGCGGCCGACAUACCAGCAUGCGUGGAUCGUGUGGCAGGGCAGGCACCGUCAGGGUGUGACCUUCGAAGCCAUGACGAUCUUCCUAAUGCUGCAGCAACGCAGACACCUCCUCCUCUCCUAGCUAUGACAACAUCUAUUUGGUUGUCUCAUCUACAAGGCAAAGCAAGGAAGGAGAACAAAGAUGAAUCAAGCUGCUUUGACAACAUCUAUUUGGUUGUUUCCUGUACAAGGAAAAGCAAGGAAGGAUAACAAACAUGAAUCAGAUGCAAUAAAAAACAGGAGAGCACGAUGAAAAACAUGCCACAGAGAUAUGAAGAAAUCUUGAUGACAUCGGCAGCCGAUGACUGAGACACCAUGUUUGUGCGGUGAACGAAUUUCCUGAUUUUGGAGCAAUGAAGCCUCAAAAUAUUUUUUUGGCAAUCCUGUUUGUUAUUCGGAAACUGCAAUUAAUGCAUAGUCCUACAUCCUUGUUGCAGCUAUCUCUAGAGUAUUUCAACAAACAUAUUGUGGGUGUGAGCAUAGGGCAAACUUGCAAGUCUUGACUCUUGUGUUCUGUAUCUAGUGCUUGUGGAUGACCAAGACAAGCACCAUAGUAACAAGUGCCUUGACGUUGCAGUCCAGGAAAGUAGUGUAUCACAUAUAUUUGUAUUUAUAGUACAGGAAAUCAAUCAGCCGCUGUUCAAGAGCACUAAAUGUAAGAAGAUCAGUUCCACCAGCGGCGAGACGGUCUGAGCCCUCGGCUCAUGCUGGAGUGUCAAUGACUGAGCUUCCUCCAAGAUAGUUCAGAAAAUUUAUGAAAAACAACACAAUGUCUUUGUCUUAGUAACAGAUUUACUAAUAUCCAAUUUAUUUCACAUGAUAGAUCAUUUGAAGGUAAAUCUACUAAAACUUCCUAGGUAUACAUAAGUCCCGUUCAAAUUAGGAACAAUAACAGCGAAGAACACCAAGCUUUGAAUGAUAUAUUUUUCGCAAUUGUCACUGGGGCUGAUAAUCCUACUACAAAGAUGCACAACCCUUUGAAUAUAAAAAACAACCACUAAUACCACAAAAGAGGAUGAGAGCCAGAUCAUCCAAAGAAAAAUCAAAGAAGGGUAAGAAAUAAUAAAGUGGGCAGAUAAAAUACAAGGAACAAACUCUCAACAACCAGCCAAAAUACCCCAACGAAAAUUCCAAUGGAACAACAAAAGAAAGAAGAAGAAUACAAAAGAGAAACAGGAGAUGCAAAUGAGAAAAAAUCUAAGCCAAAAAAGUGUGAUCAGAUCCAUGGGUG
rnacentral:lncRNA from 1 species